rnacentral:rRNA from 1 species
GACGAACGCUGGCUGCGUGCUUAACACAUGCAAGUCGAACGCUGAAGCCCCAGCUUGCUGGGGUGGAUGAGUGGCGAACGGGUGAGUAACACGUGAGUAACCUGCCCCUGACUUCGGGAUAAGCCCGGGAAACUGGGUCUAAUACCGGAUACGACUAUCGGACGCAUGUCUGGUGGUGGAAAGUUUUUUCGGUUGGGGAUGGGCUCGCGGCCUAUCAGUUUGUUGGUGAGGUAAUGGCUCACCAAGACGACGACGGGUAGCCGGCCUGAGAGGGCGACCGGCCACACUGGGACUGAGACACGGCCCAGACUCCUACGGGAGGCAGCAGUGGGGAAUAUUGCACAAUGGGGGAUACCCUGAUGCAGCGACGCAGCGUGCGGGAUGACGGCCUUCGGGUUGUAAACCGCUUUCAGCAGGGAAGAAGCCUUCGGGUGACGGUACCUGCAGAAGAAGUACCGGCUAACUACGUG